UGGGGGGUAACAUAGGAAAUUUAUUUUUAUUUUUAUGUUUUUCUUUUAUUUUUUAUUGCCAAAUGUAUGCUUCAGCUUUUAGAAAUACAAGUGAUUGGUUAUGAGCAUGCAUAUAGGUUGAUUUUAUUUAUUAUAAACUUGGCAUGAUAGUGAAUUAUUUUAAAUAUUUUUUACUAGACUGCUAAGUUCUAUAUAUUACACUG
rnacentral:lncRNA from 1 species